UAAAACUAAUUUUAAGAUAAGUAUCAAUAGGCUCAUACUCUAUAUUUUGUAAUCAUCAAAAAGGGGGAGAUUGAGGAUGAUAGUGGUAUUUUGAUGAUUAAUACAAUAAUCAAGAGUAUGUUACAAGUUAAUUCGAUACAUCAUUUAUAAGUCUGUUACUCUCAGUACAAUUCGUAUAAUAAGAUAAAGAUGCAUUUCAUUGUUUAUAUGGAUGAAUCUAACCUUGAGUUGCAGCAAAGUGUGGAUUGAGUCGACCCCAAGGUUGAUUGGGUCGACCCCGGCACAUCAAGAAAGCAUCUGGCACACUUCUGCAAAAAUGGCACGGAUGAACAGUAGUUGGGUCGACCCAAGGAAAGGAUGAGUCGACCCAAACCUCAAGCCUCAAGAAAACAGUUCUCUGGAAACACUGAAAGGGUCGACCCAAGAGGAAGUUGAGUCGACCCAAACUUGAGUCGACCCAAACACUGAGAGGGUCGACCCAAAGGCAAUGACAUUCAAAAAUAGGUUCUCUGG
rnacentral:lncRNA from 1 species